rnacentral:rRNA from 1 species
GCUGAUGCGUUGUUGGGUAGGGGAGCGUUCUGUAAGCCUGUGAAGGUGUGUCGUGAGGCAUGCUGGAGGUAUCAGAAGUGCGAAUGCUGACAUAAGUAACGAUAAAGCGGGUGAAAAGCCCGCUCGCCGGAAGACCAAGGGUUCCUGUCCAACGUUAAUCGGGGCAGGGUGAGUCGACCCCUAAGGCGAGGCCGAAAGGCGUAGUCGAUGGGAAACGGGUUAAUAUUCCCGUACUUGGUGUUACUGCGAAGGGGGGACGGAGAAGGCUAUGUUGGCCGGGCGACGGUUGUCCCGGUUUAAGCGUGUAGGUGUGUGUUCCAGGUAAAUCCGGUUCACUUUAACACUGAGGCGUGACGACGAGGCACUACGGUGCUGAAGCAACAAAUGCCCUGCUUCCAGGAAAAGCCUCUAAGCAUCAGGUAACAUCAAAUCGUACCCCAAACCGACACAGGUGGUCAGGUAGAGAAUACCAAGGCGCUUGAGAGAACUCGGGUGAAGGAACUAGGCAAAAUGGUGCCGUAACU